CAACACCGGUUCUCAUCUGAUCACCAAAGUUAAGCAACAUUGAGCCUGGUCAGUACCUAGAUAGGUGACCACUUGGGAAUACCAUAUGCUGUAGG